GUACACGCUGUAAACGAUGAAUACUAGGUGUGGGAGGACUGACCCCUUCCGUGCCGCAGUUAACACAAUAAGUAUUCCACCUGGGGAGUACGACCGCAAGGUUGAAACUCAAAGGAAUUGACGGGGGCCCGCACAAGCAGUGGAUUAUGUGGUUUAAUUCGACGCAACGCGAAGAACCUUACCAGGACUUGACAUCCAACUAACGAAGUAGAGAUACAUUAGGUGCCCUUCGGGGAAAGUUGAGACAGGUGGUGCAUGGUUGUCGU
rnacentral:rRNA from 1 species